UGUUUCUCAAUUAAUGGCUCAUAAGAAUCUAAUUUUGUUAAAUAGAUUUUUUUUUAAUUAUUUAUAACCAGUUGAUGCAGGAUAGAUUCACCUUUGCCAUAAUAUACAUAAACUAUUGUGGUGUGUACACCUGAUGUGGUUCCUUUUUAUAGAACUUCUGUCAAUCAAUCUGAUAGUUCAAGCAGUCAUGGGACUGAGACAAGUGUGUAAAUCAUUUUCCAAUCCUCUUCUCUCAAUCCACCUGGCAUUUCCCAACGUAAUUGAUGCACAAGAUUUGUAAGAGCAAACUCAAUUGUGGCAACUACAAACUGCAUUCCUCCACAAAUCUUUCAGCAAACUCAAGUAUGAACACUUUGUGCAAGCCCAAGAUUUGGAUUCCCUCACUAUCAUCACUUUUGCUUUGAUGAUUACUAUUGUUUUUGUGGGAAUCAGUGUCUUUGAUGGUUUCUCUUGAGGAAGUAGUAAUGGAGUUGGAGGAUGUUGUGUUAUCACUUUUUUCAUUAUUGACACAAGGCCUCACUUCCCUUCAAACUCUGUUUAUUGAAGUUUGUUCAAGGCUCCGACCGCUUCUUCCUCACAAGAAAAUGAGAAUCUAUGAAUGCUAUCUCAUGUUUAGCAAUAGGAUGAUAAGUUUUGAAGCGCAUGGUCACAAAUUCUUUCUUUCUAUCAGCAAUUAAUUUUCUUUUGUUCUAUUGCAUUCUACUUCAACAAGCCUAAUUCUAAGUUCAAGAAUGAGCCCCCAACAUGAAGGCAAAAUCAGAAUGAAAUUGAAAAGUAGUUGGUUCAAUUAGCAAAUUUGGUUCAUGGAGUUCUCUAUCUGUGAAUAUGUUCUUUAUUUUACUUCCACAAGAUGAAUCAAUCGCCCAAUGAAACCUUGUGAAAUCACAAUCGGAAAAGGCAAGGAAAGAUGCAUCUGUGCAAUCAAUGAACAGAAACUCGUAUUGUGCACACAUGAUCGUUCCCAAUGGUAGAACUUCCCUCAAGCAUUCCAAUCUUUUUAUCGUAUAAUCCUGUGGGUGGAAUCUUUUAGUACUUAUAAGUCAUUGAAACUGAGAGUAAAUUCGACUGUGACAACCGGAAACUGCAUUCCUCCACAAGUCCUCUGCCCAACACCAAAUGAAAUAAACUCAUGGUCAUGUCGUCGGAAAUCUAAAUCACUGUUCAUAAAUCUAUAUGGUGGGAAUCUUGUAGCCAUACAACUCAGUGCCUUUGAUGUUGUCAAGCACAUUUUAUUGGCAUCCUCUUUGGUCAACAAUGAACACUUGCCAUCCACACCGUACUCAUCUCGUCUUGUAACUUCUUCAUUACUUCUGGAUUCCAAAUGAGCACUGCUGGCCCACUCCAUGAAUAUUUGUUUGAGGGACCGACCAAAGCUCAUUUUUGCAGAAGAUGAUGUGCACCUGAUUCUCACAUCUCUUUGUGCAAGAAUUUAGAGUUCUAAUUCAAAGAUUGUUUGAAUGUACAAUCAAUUUUCAGCCUCAACUUUGUGUCUAAUUACGGCCAUGACUGAGCAGAUGCCCUGGGGAUGAUUUAAACUUGACAUGUUGAAGAACUAAAGGAUUUAUGAAAUACUUUUAACCUUUUUGUUUCUGUUUAUUGGAGAGAUCAAUCAAUCGCCACCUGUACCUGGUUUUCGUGCUUCCGCUUUUUUAUCAAGGAUUUGGAAUUGCCGGCAACUAUGAAUUAUCAGAAUCAAGCAGAAGUUCAUUCAUUGAUGAAAAGACAUUGUCACAUGUUGUGUUGUAUCAUAUUUUGCACUAGUUUUAGAAUGUUGAAAUUAAACUUGUUUUGAUUUC